rnacentral:rRNA from 1 species
UACGAAGGGGGCUAGCGUUGCUCGGAAUCACUGGGCGUAAAGCGCACGUAGGCGGGUCGUUAAGUCGGGGGUGAAAUCCUGGAGCUCAACUCCAGAACUGCCUUCGAUACUGGCGAUCUUGAGUCUGGGAGAGGUGAGUGGAACUCCGAGUGUAGAGGUGAAAUUCGUAGAUAUUCGGAAGAACACCCGUGGCGAAAGCGGCUCUCUGGGACGGUACUGACGCUGAGACGCGAAAGCGUGGGGAGCGAACAGG